rnacentral:rRNA from 1 species
AGCGUACACGGUGGAUGCCCUGGCAGUCAGAGGCGAUGAAGGGCGUGCUAAUCUGCGAUAAGCGCCGGUAAGGUGAUAUGAACCGUUAUAACCGGCGAUACCCGAAUGGGGAAACCCAGUGUGAUUCGUCACACUAUCAUUAACUGAAUCCAUAGGUUAAUGAGGCGAACCGGGGGAACUGAAACAUCUAAGUACCCCGAGGAAAAGAAAUCAACCGAGAUUCCCCCAGUAGCGGCGAGCGAACGGGGAGGAGCCCAGAGCCUGAAUCAGCAUGUGUGUUAGUGGAAGCGUCUGGAAAGGCGCGCGAUACAGGGUGACAGCCCCGUACACAAAAGCGCAUGUGCUGUGAGCUCGAUGAGUAGGGCGGGACACGUGGUAUCCUGUCUGAAUAUGGGGGGACCAUCCUCCAAGGCUAAAUACUCCUGACUGACCGAUAGUGAACCAGUACCGUGAGGGAAAGGCGAAAAGAACCCCGGCGAGGGGAGUGAAAAAGAACCUGAAACCGUGUACGUACAAGCAGUGGGAGCACCCUUUGGGUGUGACUGCGUACCUUUUGUAUAAUGGGUCAGCGACUUAUAUUCUGUAGCAAGGUUAACCGUAUAGGGGAGCCGGAGGGAAACCGAGUCUUAACCGGGCGUUAAGUUGCAGGGUAUAGACCCGAAACCCGGUGAUCUAGCCAUGGGCAGGUUGAAGGUUGGGUAACACUAACUGGAGGACCGAACCGACUAAUGUUGAAAAAUUAGCGGAUGACCUGUGGCUGGGGGUGAAAGGCCAAUCAAACCGGGAGAUAGCUGGUUCUCCCCGAAAGCUAUUUAGGUAGCGCCUCGUGAACUCAUCUCCGGGGGUAGAGCACUGUUUCGGCUAGGGGGCCAUCCCGGCUUACCAACCCGAUGCAAACUGCGAAUACCGGAGAAUGUUAUCACGGGAGACACACGGCGGGUGCUAACGUCCGUCGUGAAGAGGGAAACAACCCAGACCGCCAGCUAAGGUCCCAAAGUCAUGGUUAAGUGGGAAACGAUGUGGGAAGGCACAGACAGCCAGGAUGUUGGCUUAGAAGCAGCCAUCAUUUAAAGAAAGCGUAAUAGCUCACUGGUCGAGUCGGCCUGCGCGGAAGAUGUAACGGGGCUAAACCAUGCACCGAAGCUGCGGCAGCGACGUUUAUGCGUUGUUGGGUAGGGGAGCGUUCUGUAAGCCUGCGAAGGUGGCCUGUGAGGGUUGCUGGAGGUAUCAGAAGUGCGAAUGCUGACAUAAGUAACGAUAAAGCGGGUGAAAAGCCCGCUCGCCGGAAGACCAAGGGUUCCUGUCCAACGUUAAUCGGGGCAGGGUGAGUCGACCCCUAAGGCGAGGCCGAAAGGCGUAGUCGAUGGGAAACGGGUUAAUAUUCCCGUACUUGGUGUUACUGCGAAGGGGGGACGGAGAAGGCUAUGUUGGCCGGGCGACGGUUGUCCCGGUUUAAGCGUGUAGGCUGGUUUUCCAGGCAAAUCCGGAAAAUCAAGGCUGAGGCGUGACGACGAGGCACUACGGUGCUGAAGCAACAAAUGCCCUGCUUCCAGGAAAAGCCUCUAAGCAUCAGGUAACAUCAAAUCGUACCCCAAACCGACACAGGUGGUCAGGUAGAGAAUACCAAGGCGCUUGAGAGAACUCGGGUGAAGGAACUAGGCAAAAUGGUGCCGUAACUUCGGGAGAAGGCACGCUGACACGUAGGUGAAGUGAUUUACUCAUGGAGCUGAAGUCAGUCGAAGAUACCAGCUGGCUGCAACUGUUUAUUAAAAACACAGCACUGUGCAAACACGAAAGUGGACGUAUACGGUGUGACGCCUGCCCGGUGCCGGAAGGUUAAUUGAUGGGGUCAGCGCAAGCGAAGCUCCUGAUCGAAGCCCCGGUAAACGGCGGCCGUAACUAUAACGGUCCUAAGGUAGCGAAAUUCCUUGUCGGGUAAGUUCCGACCUGCACGAAUGGCGUAAUGAUGGCCAGGCUGUCUCCACCCGAGACUCAGUGAAAUUGAACUCGCUGUGAAGAUGCAGUGUACCCGCGGCAAGACGGAAAGACCCCGUGAACCUUUACUAUAGCUUGACACUGAACAUUGAGCCUUGAUGUGUAGGAUAGGUGGGAGGCUUUGAAGCGUGGACGCCAGUCUGCGUGGAGCCGACCUUGAAAUACCACCCUUUAAUGUUUGAUGUUCUAACGUGGACCCGUAAUCCGGGUUGCGGACAGUGUCUGGUGGGUAGUUUGACUGGGGCGGUCUCCUCCUAAAGAGUAACGGAGGAGCACGAAGGUUGGCUAAUCCUGGUCGGACAUCAGGAGGUUAGUGCAAUGGCAUAAGCCAGCUUGACUGCGAGCGUGACGGCGCGAGCAGGUGCGAAAGCAGGUCAUAGUGAUCCGGUGGUUCUGAAUGGAAGGGCCAUCGCUCAACGGAUAAAAGGUACUCCGGGGAUAACAGGCUGAUACCGCCCAAGAGUUCAUAUCGACGGCGGUGUUUGGCACCUCGAUGUCGGCUCAUCACAUCCUGGGGCUGAAGUAGGUCCCAAGGGUAUGGCUGUUCGCCAUUUAAAGUGGUACGCGAGCUGGGUUUAGAACGUCGUGAGACAGUUCGGUCCCUAUCUGCCGUGGGCGCUGGAGAACUGAGGGGGGCUGCUCCUAGUACGAGAGGACCGGAGUGGACGCAUCACUGGUGUUCGGGUUGUCAUGCCAAUGGCACUGCCCGGUAGCUAAAUGCGGAAGAGAUAAGUGCUGAAAGCAUCUAAGCACGAAACUUGCCCCGAGAUGAGUUCU